rnacentral:rRNA from 1 species
GGGGGGGGGGGGGGGGAGGGCGGGGGGGGGGGGGUGGGACGAGGGCGUCGGGUCUGGUGGCGCACGGGGGGGUAACGCGGGGGAACCUGCCCUUAGGUGCGGAAUAACUCCCCGGAGGGGGUGCUAAUACCGGAUAAUGUCUUCGGACCAAAGGUUUAUCGCCUUUGGAUGGGCCCGCGUUGGCUUAGCUAGUUGGUAGGGUAAAAGCCUACCAAGGCGACGAUCCAUAGCUGGUCUGAGAGGAUGAUCAGCCACACUGGGACUGAGACACGGCCCAGACUCCUACGGGAGGCAGCAGUGGGGAAUAUUGGACAAUGGGCGAAAGCCUGAUCCAGCAAUGCCGCGUGAGUGAUGAAGGCCUUAGGGUUGUAAAGCUCUUUUACCCGGGAUGAUAAUGACAGUACCGGGAGAAUAAGCUCCGGCUAACUCCGUG